rnacentral:rRNA from 1 species
GAUGAACGCUAGCGGCAGGCCUAAUACAUGCAAGUCGAACGGUAAGUUUUGUAGCAAUAUGAAACCAAGAGUGACGUACGGGUGCGUAACACGUAUGCAACCUACCCUUUACAGGAGGAUAGCUCGGGGAAACUCGGAUUAACCCUCCAUAACAUAAUGGUGUGGCAUCACAUUAUUAUUAAAACUCAGGUGGUAAAGGAUGGGCAUGCGUCUGAUUAGCUAGUUGGUGAGGUAAUGGCUCACCAAGGCGAUGAUCAGUAGGGGAACUGAGAGGUUGAUCCCCCACACUGGAACUGAGAUACGGGCCAGACUCCUACGGGAGGCAGCAGUAGGGAAUAUUGGUCAAUGGAUGCAAGUCUGAACCAGCCAUGCCGCGUGCAGGAAGAAGGCCUUCUGGGUUGUAAACUGCUUUUGUCAGGGGAUAAAAAGCUCGUGCGCGAGCAAUUGCAGGUACCUGAUGAAUAAGCCACGGCUAACUACGUGCCAGCAGCCGCCGCGGUAA